GUGAAAAAUAAUUUAGUGGGGUGUGGGUUGGUAACUCCAGCAGAGGUAAAAAUAUAUGCUGUCCACCAUGAACAGCACGGACAGGCAGAAAAAAGAAAAAGAGAAAAUAGGAAAAAUGAGUUCUUGAUGGCAAUGUUAGAAGACAGAGCGACAGCAGGAGGUAACAGAGAAAAUAGCCAGCUGAAAUGCUACAAUUGUAACGAAAUUGAACAUUUCGCCCGGGAGUGUAAACACUCCCUACAAAAGACCACCAAUAUUGUAGUUUAACUGAGGGAAUGGUAAGAGGCAACAAUUGGGUAAAGAAAAAGAAGGGUCAGAUACGAAGGGAGCGAGAUUAAUGAGAAUCCUAAUUGAGGGAAAACUUUGGGCGUUUAAAUUAGUGCUAUUUUCUGUUGUUCAGAUGCCGGAGUAACAAAUACAGAUAACUGUAAAUUGGGUCUAUUUGCGGAGAAUCUCAGUUCCAUAGCAUUGGUGGUAUAGUGGUGAGUGUAACAGUCUCACAACCUGCAGUCCAGGGUUCGGUUCCCAGCUGAGGUGUAAAAAAUAGUUAUAUAUGUCUGAGUUUUUGGUUGUAAUUAAACUAAUUGUUUUGCAGAGAAAGUUAUAGUCACUAGUAUUGGUAUAAGAUAUAAACUGAACGUUUUAAAUAGUUUGUUUGGUUCAAAUUGAAAGACUAAUUCAUUCAACUUAAAAUAAGAACGGAGAUUUUGAUGCAAGACGAUGUCUGUUCACUUGGUUUAUCGAACCCGAAAUACUGUUGUUGCAGACAGCCAACCAUUAUUUACAAUGAGUUGAAAAUCGUUGCGAAAUGAGUCAAGAUUGAGCGCUUGUUGAUGACAUCACUCGCGAGGUUUCCGUCACCACGGAGAUUAUGUCUUGACUGGGGGUAACGGAGAAAAUGGUUCGUGUCUUUUAGAAGGAAAUGCAUGCAUUAUUGUUGAGUCACUUUUCAGAAGUUGAUAAAAAUUUCGAAAUACAUUUUUAAAAGGAGUAUGUAAGUCGUCAGGAAAGAUGCUAAAAACUAGCAGCUGAUUCGCUAGAUUUUAUGCACUACAGGUGAAUUACAGGUGAAGUCACUCAAUCCAGUCCCUGAGGCCUGUUGGGGGGACCAUACCAAGGAUUCCUGGUGACAGCUAGCAGAAAGAACUACCCGGAUUCAUAUCACACGGCGGGAGGAGGAUCUGAGCCCUCGGACCAUGCAUCAGGACUACCUGGCCUGAUGACUCCUUGCUGUCCUCAGUCCACCUGGUCGUGCUGCUGCUCCAGUUUCAACUGUUCUGCCUGCGGCUAUGGAACCCUGACCUGUUCACCGGACUUGCUACCUGUCC